rnacentral:rRNA from 1 species
GACGAACGCUGGCGGCGUGCCUAAUACAUGCAAGUCGAGCGGACGGAUGGGAGCUUGCUCCCAGCCCGUCAGCGGCGGACGGGUGAGUAACACGUGGGCAACCUGCCUGUAAGACUGGGAUAACUCCGGGAAACCGGGGCUAAUACCGGAUAACUCUUUCCCUCACAUGAGGGAAAGCUGAAAGAUGGCAUCUCGCUAUCACUUACAGAUGGGCCCGCGGCGCAUUAGCUAGUUGGUGAGGUAACGGCUCACCAAGGCGACGAUGCGUAGCCGACCUGAGAGGGUGAUCGGCCACACUGGGACUGAGACACGGCCCAGACUCCUACGGGAGGCAGCAGUAGGGAAUCUUCCGCAAAGGACGAAAGUCUGACGGAGCAACGCCGCGUGAGUGAUGAAGGUUUUCGGAUCGUAAAACUCUGUUGUCAGGGAAGAACAAGUACCGGAGUAACUGCCGGUACCUUGACGGUACCUGACCAGAAAGCCACGGCUAACUACGUG